UACGAAGGGGGCGAGCGUUGUUCGGAAUUACUGGGCGUAAAGGGCGCGUAGGCGGCCCUCCUUGUCGCGUGUGAAAGCCCCGGGCUCAACCUGGGAAUUGCAUUCGAGACUGAAUAGCUAGGGUACGGUAGAGGGAAGCGGAAUUUCCGGUGUAGCGGUGAAAUGCGUAGAUAUCGGAAGGAACAUCAGUGGCGAAAGCGGCUUCCUGGACCAGUACCGACGUUCAGGCACGAAAGCGUGGGGAGCAAACAGG
rnacentral:rRNA from 1 species